rnacentral:rRNA from 1 species
GACGAACGCUGGCGGCGUGCUUAACACAUGCAAGUCGAACGGAAAGGCCCUGCUUUUGUGGGGUGCUCGAGUGGCGAACGGGUGAGUAACACGUGAGUAACCUGCCCUUGACUUUGUGAUAACUUCAGGAAACUGGGGCUAAUACCGGAUAGGAGCUCCUGCUGCAUGGUGGUGGUUGGAAAGUUUCGGCGGUUGGGGAUGGACUCGCGGCUUAUCAGCUUGUUGGUGGGGUAGUGGCUUACCAAGGCUUUGACGGGUAGCCGGCCUGAGAGGGUGAACGGCCACAUUGGGACUGAGAGACGGCGCAGAAUCCUACGGGAGGCAGCAGUGGGGAAUAUUGCACAAUGGGCGGAAGCCUGAUGCAGCAACGUCGCGUGCGGGAUGACGGCCUUCGGGUGGUAAACCGCUUUCGCCUGUGACGAAGCGUGAGUGACGGUAAUGGGUAAAGAAGCACCGGCUAACUACGUG